UUAGCCUGUAACUUCAAGAAAUCCGAUGAAAAGAAACUCUGCUUACAUAUCACCUUUAGUGGGAUGAAUUGCAUUUGACCAAAAAAGGAGGAGGAUUAUUCAUAUAAGCCACAAUUCUAUCCUCUCAAUACAUCAGUAGCAAAAGGAAUGGAAACUCUUGGUACAAAAUAACUCACCAAGUUGUACAAGAUUUCAAAUCAAACAAAAAUAUCAUGAUAACACCAUCCACGUGAGAUAUAAAGCAUCGAGAGCUGAUAUACAUUUAUAGUAGGUAAUACAGUGAUCACAUAGCUACUGUUAGUAUCCAAGGUCAUACGUUUCCAGGCUUUGAUCUUGAUAAUGCUUCAAGGGUGGCCGAUUCUGCUUCCUACAUAACUAAACACGUAGUUUUGUUAAUCAAAUGGCAGAAGCAUUCUUGAGUGGUACUGCAAAAAUUCACUUUAUACGGUUAAAUAUUAGCAGCAAUUAACAUAUUUUCCAAAAGUAUAUCAUAGUUUUUUUUCUUUUAUCAUUAGCCUUGCCAUUUUAAGCUAACUUUUUUCACUUACAGGAACAUCAACAUCUGUGUCUAUCUAUGCACCUAUAUGCCAGACAAGCUUUUUUCCAUAUAAUUAUCCCUGAAGGCAAAAGUAUGGGGCAAAGGUUUUUGUACAAUUCAUAGGUUGGGGCAUACUGCACCAGUGUAGCCAAAUAAUAAAUGAACAAUCUUCAACUACAAUAUAAAACAUGCAAUAACUACAAAUACACAAUUUUCCAUUACAUUAUUAUAUACACAAUACAGACACUGUUGUAAAAAAAAUUUCCAUUCAUAGAGAUAGUUAUAUUAAAACGAAAGGUGAAAUAAAAAAGGUUACAAUGAGCACUUUAAAAGUAGUAGAAGGCCAUUAUUUGCUUUAUUAUAUGUCGAUAAAUUUAAUACCUAAUUCCAUCAUGAAGAGCCCGGUGUCCAUCUAAUUUAAUGCUAAAUAAGGACACAAAGAAACCGUUUGCAAGUUAAAUAGCAGAAAAGAUAAUCAAUAGAAACUUAAUCGUUUUCUCUUAAUCAACAGAGAUAUCUACUAAUUAUUAGUAUACAAGCACAUCCAUUUGACUAAGAUAUUUUGCUAAAUAAAGUGUAACAGCUGUCCAAAGCUGAACUAUGCUAAAAGCCCAAAGCUUGGGCUUAGACUGACUGGUACAAAACAAAGCAUUACCCCUAUAAAAUUCAACCCAAAAAGUGAACAACAAUAAAUAUGAGCAAAAAUAAAUUGUUCAUAUGCAAAAUGGAAACAAAUAGAAAAAAAGAAGGUUAUAAAAUGUUACACAGAAAUAAUUACCAAGUUUUUAGCCAAAGACAUUGUGCUAAAAUUUGAACAACCCCAUGAAUCCAAAACAACCAAAAAAUACACCAAGCAAUUUUCCCAUACAUAAUAGAAAAUCACAUAAGUUUGUACAGGUGCUGUGGAAGGCCAUGGAAAAAAGGACAAAUAAGUAACAGGAGAACUAUUAAAAAUGCGUGUAAAAAAAUAGUGAAAAAACUGAGAUCUGUAAGAAUGAAACUGAAAGAAGCAAAAUCACAUACAAUUUUUUUUGAUAAUGAUCUUCUCUUGACAGCCUCGGUCUCCCAAGAAAGCAUGGACAGAAAAUCAGAUUUCCUUGUUUUUGGAUUUAAUUCUUCCAACCAUACUCCUUGUUUUGGAGAGCGAGAAGGGAACGGCGAGAGAAGAGACAUCAACCCUUUGGGAUUUGAAGGAGAUGAUGUCGAGAUAGGGUUUCUGGAACUACUACGUGGGUUCAAAAAACUUUAUAAAAUUUGUUAGUAAAUCCUUUUUAAUGUUUUUUGGGCAAGAGCAAAAUCAAGAUACAAUUUCUUAUAAAGGCAUUAGAUCGGGGGAAAAGUUCCAAGAAACUUUCUCAAAUUUAUUAAAUCCUUUUUAAUGCUUUUUGGCCAACAGCAAAAUCAAGAUACAAAUAUGUCAAGAAAAUGGAGAAUACAAGGCAAAAGAAAGGGGAAAAAAAGAGCAAAGCUAACCACGUGUUUUAGAACCCAAUUUAAAAAAAGGAAAAAAAUCUCAGAGUCUCACAAGAAUGCUGAAAAAGAUUCGAAAAUUUUCACCUGCAAUAUCAAAAAUAUAUACCAAUUAGAUUAGACAACUAAAGCUAAAAAGAAACACAAAAGGCUAGAGAAAUUCAGGGAGGGAAAGGAAAAAAAUUACCAUCUGUUUCGGUCCUGAUGGUGCCGGUUAUGGAGAAGAAAAGAGAUAGAAGGGCUUUGGGGCCGUUUAGGAAAAUGAAGAAGAAAACAGAGAGAUGGGCUUAGAGAGAGAGGAGAAUGGUGAUGAACAAGGAAAAGAAAUGGGAGAGCAGGUGACCUUCUUCAAUCAAUCACAUCUGCGUUUAAAAAGAAUGAAAAGUAAAUGAAAUGGGAACAUAAGAAAGGCUUGGACAAACACUCUCCAACCAAUCACAUGUUGCGGCGUCAGCUACACA
rnacentral:lncRNA from 1 species